UACAGAGGAUGCAAGCGUUAUCCGGAAUGAUUGGGCGUAAAGCGUCUGUAGGUGGCUUUUUAAGUCCGCCGUCAAAUCCCAGGGCUCAACUCUGGACAGGCGGUGGAAACUACCAAGCUGGAGUACGGUAGGGGCAGAGGGAAUUUCCGGUGGAGCGGUGAAAUGCGUAGAGAUCCGGAAGAACACCGGUGGCGAAGGCGGUCUGCUGGGGUCGAACUGACGCUGAGGCGCGACAGCGUGGGGAGCAAACAGG
rnacentral:rRNA from 1 species